UACAGGUCAAGCUCUCUAUGCCAAGCUUAAAACCGGCUUCUGGGCUACAGUGGCUGUGUCUUGAUUCUAUUUUACAGGUUCACUCCUCCAGCCAGACAUGUGCCCAGGCCAACCCACAAGGAGCUCUCCACAUACACCAGCUUCGUGGACACCCAAGACUCCGAUGAUUAGAGGUCGCAAAGUGCCCCAAGUCAUAUACUCUAGGUCACUGAAGACUGCUGAAGACCACCCUUCCCUUGGUGACCUCAUAGUUACAAAAGAAAGGAUCAGAAGCACAUCUGCAUAUCCUGACCACCCGUCAGGAUGGCACCGAGCUAUCUUAACUUCAAAAGAACCAGACAACCUCCUGAGAUAGAAGGUGCAAUUAAGCCUGUUAGUCUCCAAACUCUCUGACCUUCUGACAAGGUGGAAAUGGGUCUAAAUUUUUCCGGCCUCCACA